rnacentral:rRNA from 1 species
AACGAACGCUGGCGGCAGGCCUAAUACAUGCAAGUCGAGCGCCGCGGCGGAAGGGGGAGUAAUGACUAGGAAUCUGCCUGGUAGUGGGGGAUAACGUCGGGAAACGGGCGCUAAUACCGCAUGCUAUCAGAUGAGCUUCGGUUGGAUUAGCUAGAUGGUGGGGUAAAGGCCUACCAAGGCGACGAUCCCUAGCUGGUCUGAGAGGAUGAUCCGCCACCCUGGAACUGAGACACGGUCCAGACUCCUACGGGAGGCAGCAGUGGGGAAUAUUGCACAAUGGGCGCAAGCCUGAUGCAGCAAUGCCGCGUGAAUGAAGAAGGCCUUCGGGUUGUAAAGUCCUUUCGGCAGGGAGGCGUUACCCACAGAGAAAGCACCGACUAACUCCGUGCCAGCAGCCGCGGUAAUAC